UGUGAAAAUGAGGAAAUAUGCAAAACAUAUUGCAGGUGCACAAAUGUCAGUUCCCUUCUGUUAUUGACGAGGAGUUGCCUCCACUUUAAUGAAAAGGAUUUUUAGUGUGACUAGGAUUCAGAAGGUAAGUUUUUCUUUAAUGAAUAGCCUGAUUCUUGAACGAUAAUGACUCAGCCACAAGGGCUUGAGUAAUUGUUUUAUGGCUUAGACUUCCCUUGGCAUGAGGACCCCACCCAGCCCAUAUGAAAAUGAAUACCAUUAAGCAGCCAAAUGUUUCUCCAUUUUAAUUGAAUAUUGUGUGUGGAGACCAAGACUCUCAGUAAGUCCAAGGACUCUUGUAUGUCAUGUCCUUAGCAUGAUGAUCUCCCCACUUCUUUUUACAGUCCAUGAUGGUGGAAGAAGAUGAGACAGGGGAUGUUCCUGUUUGGGGCUCCACUGAAAGCCUCUGGUGCAAUUUCCUCAAAUAAAUGAAGCCUUUGGUCUCGGAUCCAUAGAAGAAGCAAAUUCUGUGUCCUGAUGUUAUCCAAGUCUGUGUGUGGACUCUCUAGAUUCUGCUUCAUUUU
rnacentral:lncRNA from 1 species